CACAGUAGUAUUAGGCAUGCCCUCAGCAGCUAUUGGAAAACACUCACUCAUCCAUGAAGAGUCUUCAAGUAGGUUUCAUAUGUUUUAAGAGAGAGCUUUACAGAUAAGGUAUUUUUUAUUAACAUAAAUAAGGGGUUGUUUCAUAACACAGUUUUGGCAGUCUUUCAGGAAUGGUGGCUUGCAAUGUCCUCUAUAUCUGAAGUCAUGGAGGGAGAAAGGAAAACCUCCAUGAAAAGUUUUUCUAUUUGGGAAGAGCCACAGUAGCCAGAUAAUGUAUAUUUUUGAGAUGUGAGUGUUCAGUUCUCCUAGAUGAGCACACAAGAAAGAUGACCCAGGAGAUGACCCUACUAUUCUCUGUGCCUCACUGUGCUGAAAUUGAUGUGUGAGUGAAGCACCAAGCAAAUACCACUUCCUUGCAUCACAUUGUACUGGAUAUUCCUCCAUCAUCUGGACCUUCUCCAUCCUCCCUUCUCUCCGUCCCUCAUUCCUUCACUUCCCUCUCCAUGUUCCACUGAGAGAACUGCAAAAAGCUGAACAGACCUGUGGCCACCAGCACAUACAGAAACUCAAGCACCUCUCAAAGCCUGGCACAUGAGCCUCAGCAGGUGUCACAUCCACAGACCUUUUGAACACUUCCAGGGUUGGUGAGUCCACCACUUCCCUUGGCAACCUGCUGCAGUACAGGAAGCAUUGGCAAGGACUUGGGUGGACUUUGAGCUUACCCAGCUGGCUGAACACAGGCUGAAUGGUUUGAGUCAACUGCAGAUGGAGCACUGCAAGGAAAUCUUCUGCACAGAUGUGCCCUCCUAGGCAGCCCCUGCUUUUGUAAGCAGUCUGUUGAUUCAACACAGUAACAUCUCAGCUCGUUUUGCAUUAUGUCUCGGAGUUUUGAAAAGGUUGCUCUUGACAUAUACUUCUUUAAACUAGAUCCAAAUGUCAGUGCUAGGCUUAAAAUUACUGGUCUCUCUUCAGAAAAGUAUGCUCUAUCACAGAUUAUAGGCAUUA